rnacentral:snRNA from 1 species
GUCAUUCCUGAACAUAUACUAAAAUUGCAACAAUACAGAGAAGAUUAGCUUGUCAACUGCGCAAGCAUGACGCGCAAAAAUUUGAAAACUAAAUAAAAAAU